UCUGUUUUGGGUGUUUGCGGGUGUAAUUUUGAGACCGGGCUUCAUGAUCUUCAUAGUCUCUGCAAGCCAUGCAGGACUGAGUGCUUGACAGCCUAAAGAUCACUGGGGAGAGUUAGCAAUGAAUUUCUUAACUUUUCUGUUGUGUGCAAUGUUUUUAAGCAUAUUUUCAUUUUUUGUUGACUGAUUUUGUUCCUCCCAUUUUUUUUUUUUUUUUUUUUUGGCUCCCAGGGAGGAGAAUGUGGCAUAAGAUUUAUUGUGCCAUCUUUUAUGGAAGCAAGACGUCGUUUUCUGUCAGGUGCAUCAAUACGUAAUGGAAGAGAAAUCCUUUUAAAGGAAGCUUGCUGAUCAGUAUACUGUCAUUUCAGGCAUUUACAAUUAACUUUUCGGUGAGCUGAAAUUCUUGGGUUGCUAAAAGCACUGAGGACCAGGUCUAUUGUGGUAAGCAGUGACUGAAAGAGAAGGGAAAAGAAGAUAAGUGAAGGAGAAGGAGACUGUUGGAGUUUAGAGAUUGAGUUUUGGAAUGGGAAUGGGAUUCAGAUUCAUUUGCUCUCGGCAAAAUUAGUCCAAUCAUAGAAGAGGAAAAGCCCUAUAAUAACUCAACCAGCGCUUCAGGUAUUUAUGCAAGUAAU